rnacentral:rRNA from 1 species
UACGAAGGGGGCUAGCGUUGUUCGGAUUUACUGGGCGUAAAGCGCACGUAGGCGGAUCGUUAAGUCGGGGGUGAAAUCCUGGAGCUCAACUCCAGAACUGCCUUCGAUACUGGCGAUCUUGAGUCCGGAAGAGGAGAGUGGAAUUCCUGGUGUAGCGGUGAAAUGCGCAGAUAUCGGGAAGAACACCCGUGGCGAAGGCGGCUUGCCAGAACGCGCUCGAACGGGUGAGGGAUGAAAGCUGGGGGGAGCAACCGG